CUCAAGUUACUCUGGUUCACAAAUGACCUUUGCUCUAUCUUUUGCAUUUGUGUGUGUGUGUGUGUAUUCAUCCCUGGGCUUAAACUCACUACAGGCUGGCCUGAAACUCUGAUGUUUGCCACCUGAUGUGUGCCACUGCUCCAGCCUUAAGGAAAUUUGGGUUUGUCAUGUAUGAAGACGACACUGUCAUUUUCAAGAUUUUUGGGGGGGGUUUAUUUAUUUAUUUAUUUAUUUAUCUUUGUGUGUGUGUGUGUGUGACAGCUUUUAAGUGAGUGAAAGGAGAGCACACAGAGCUCUGUGUGAGGUGCAUAUGAGGUACAUGUGAGGUGCGUGUGUAAGGUGUAUGUGAGGUGUGUGUGAGAAGUAUGUAGGCGUGUGAGAAUAU
rnacentral:lncRNA from 1 species